GUUGGUCUCGGGUAGCCGGCCCCCGGGUCGGUGAGGAGAGCCGCUCGCGACGGGGCUGGGGCGCGGCCGGACGAUGGCCGCCCCUCUCCCACCGCGCACCGCAUGUUUGUGGAGAACCUGGUGCUAAAUCACUUGCAGACGACCUGAUUCUGGGUCAGGGUGUCGUACGUAGCAGAGCAGCUCCUUCGCUGCGAUCUAUUGAAAGUCACCCCUCGAUCCAAGCUUUUGUC
rnacentral:rRNA from 1 species